CCUCGGCUGUCAGGUGAAGGAGUUGAGACCACGUGAAUGUCAGGAAAAUAAUUUGGGUAACUUUGGGCAGCCUGGAAAAGGGGCCUCCCGCUGUAUUGUGUGGGCUUGUGUUCCUCAGCAAAAUCUGUCUUCUCCAUCUUGUGAGGAUUCAAAAAUGCCCCCUCGGGUACUGUUUUGUUGUAACUAUCUUCUUAGUGUAUUGGGCAGGCUCCCGUCCGCGCACAGACAAACCCUUCCCGUCUUGUUCUGUGACUGUCACAUUUGCCGUCGGAUUUAAGGAAUCAUGGCUCUCAGUGGCCAAGAGUCUGUCACCUGCCAGGCACCUUGGACUUUGGUGAACCUCUCCUGCGAGAAGGGAUGAUACAACCUGGCCGUGACUGUGUGGUCCAGAGAGCCAGGCACCCCACAGAUGUGGAAAUGGGGUCAACUGCCGAACACCAUACUUCUUGUCAGUUGGGCUUUGUCUGGAGGAAAGACUCUUCUAUACCAUGUCCUAGUGCUAAACUAGAAAGAGUUUGCUGACCUGAGCUAGCUGAAUAGAUGGCUGGGCUUUCUGGCAUUUUCAGCCUCUAUGUUGUGCAGCCUGGAGAAGUUGAGGUGACUUCAUAAGGCCACUCAGCAAGUAUCACAGAACCCGAGGACAGAUCUGUUUGGUUUCUCACUCCUUCGCCUGUAUUGUCCAUCACCUGAACCUUGAACCAUGAGAUGAGCGUGUUCUGUUGGGCAGUGUGAG
rnacentral:lncRNA from 1 species